rnacentral:rRNA from 1 species
CCUACGGGGUGCAGCAGUGGGGAAGAUUGGGCAAUGGGCGAAAGCCUGACCCAGCAACGCCGCGUGAAGGAAGAAGGCUUUCGGGUUGUAAACUUCUUUUGACAGGGAAGAGCAGAAGACGGUACCUGUCGAAUAAGCCACGGCUAACUACGGGCCAGCAGCCGCGGUAAUACGUAGGUGGCAAGCGUUGUCCGGAUUUACUGGGUGUAAAGGGCGGGUAGCCGGGCUGACAAGUCAGAUGUGAAAUCCGGGGGCUCAACCCCCGAACUGCAUUGGAAACUGUUGGUCGUGAGUAUCGGAGAGGCAGUCGUCAUUCCUAGUGUAGCGGUGCAAUGCGUAGCUAUUAGGAGGCACACCAGUGGCGAAGGCGGCCUGCUGGACGACACCUGACGGUGAGGCGCG